AUGCCUACUACGCCCUCCAUCACAUGCGGGCGAUCGUACGGGACCAUAAUCACCUUACGCUACCAAAUAAUCUCAAAGAUUGGGCCGCACGCUUGUCGGCAAUCCAGGACGAGGACAUCAGACAAGAAUUCUUUCGCAUCCAGUCAGAGUUUGCGGAAAUCAUCUAUCAAGAUGUCCUCGGGGCAGUUCUACCUCAAAUAUCAACCGUCCAACAGUGAAAUAGAAACAACGCUACAAAUGCAGGCCGACAACAACCGCACAUUCAUGCCCAUCACGAAAGACGGCGGCUUCAUCCACGCUCCGGGUCCCUGA
rnacentral:rRNA from 1 species